UACGUAGGGGGCUAGCGUUGUCCGGAAUCAUUGGGCGUAAAGCGUGCGUAGGCGGCUGCGCAAGUCGGGUGUGAAACCCCGGGGCUCAACCCCGGAACUGCAUCCGAUACUGCGUGGCUAGAGGUAGGUAGGGGAGAUCGGAAUUCCUGGUGUAGCGGUGAAAUGCGCAGAUAUCAGGAGGAACACCGGUGGCGAAGGCGGAUCUCUGGGCCUUACCUGACGCUCAGGCACGAAAGCUAGGGGAGCGAACAGG
rnacentral:rRNA from 1 species